CUGAAAAAGUUUUGAUCAGUCGCCCGAGUAUCGGAAUGGAGCUGAAAAAAAAUUGCAACAAAAUUCGACCGGAUAGAAACGAUUCAUCUUUCCACUUUCGGAUUCAAAUUGUGACCAUGUUCAGCAAUUCGAGUAGCUGUGUGUAUCGCUACAAUGGAGAAAUUUUGAACGCGACUGCCGCUGCUUGGGAAGACUAUUGGUUUCAGAAGAAAAUGUCCUCGUAAAACGUUACGGUCUCAUAUGAACCGUUCGACGAAGAGCUGAAGCUACUUUCCCAUUAAACUAUUGCUGUGAUGAUUCAGUAAUUUGUGGUCUUCCGAAUCAUCCGGAACUGAACUAAGCGAUUGCCUUCUCAACGGUCCAGGUGCGGUGACGAUCAACUACCAUUCCGAUACAACAAGCAAUGGUUCCCGAGUGAAAAUUCGAGAGCUGGUAUGGUCAUUUUUCUUAUCAUCCGGAAGAACCUGAUGCGGGAGCUGAGGCUCGGACAGAUUGCCACAAUGUGUGAAGAAUGGAAAAAAAUAAAUAAAAUUAUCUUUUCAAAUGUUCAGAGUUGC